CCCCGGGAAGAGUGGGGUGCAAACGUGUCCAGGUGGGGAACGAGCAACCGGGUGCCGGGUGCCGGGUGCCGGGUGGUGUCGGGGAACAUAAAGCCUAGCAUGCGCACGGCCUACGGUUAGUUUGCGACCGGACGAGCGACUGUGCGCUUGCGUGACCCUCGGAGGACCCUCUCCUCUCCUUCUCUUUCGCCUCCUCGCGUUCGCUCUUCCACACCUUCUCGUUCCUCGCCCUCGCAGUACGCUCGCCCGUUCGAUGGCAAGCAUGACUCGAACCUCCGAGGGUCUCGCGAACCAGCCUUACCAGCCUUGCGCCGGAUUGAAAUCUCUCACCCGGCCGCAACCAUCGCCCGACUGGACGACGCCUGCCGAGCAACGAUGGACGAUCGUUUGUGGAGAUGUCGACUACUGACCGAGAGAACAUUCUCAAAGAUACCGAAAGGAUCGUCCGUCCCCCCGGUGAGACGCCGGAUUUGAAACGACGGAGACGAGGAAGGACGGAAGAUGAUGUGGCAAUCACAGUAAGUACACGAGUCCAACAUUGGCAUUCACCGCUAUGAAAAUCUCAAGCCAAGACCAUAUCCAGUUGAUACAAAUAACUAAUAUAAACAUCGACAUCGACGACCGAUGUACGUACUCUUUGAUUGCCGAUCUCAUUCUUGACCUUGUUCUCCGUUUAUACACAUAUUAGCGUACGAAAACAGCAAUAUGAGAGGCGAGCAUGUGCAAAUAAAAGUCCUAAUAUAAGAGAUAUAAAGUGGAAAUGAGGAAAGAAAAAAAAAAGAGAGGGAGAGAUGUAGAGUACUGAUGGUCAAAGUACAAGCAGUAUUCGAACAAUACGCUCGGUGAAGACGAAUGACCGCAUUUCGCGGCGAUGGAAAAUUUUCAUUCAAAUUUCCUACACCGAACAACCUCAAAAAUGAUCAAAGAUAGCACCGGUGUGUAGUUCUUCAUCCAUUUUAUCUUAAUUACGCCAAUUAAAAAAACGAAAGGAAUUUCCUAUCAAAAGCAUCCGGACUAACAUUAAUAAUUGGCAUGGCAACAAGAAUUUGAUUCAAACUAGACAUUUUCUUUGAUCGAACAUACAUCAUUUCAACAUUCCUGCUGUGGAUCGAUGAUCAGAUCUAAACUCGGUUCGAGAAAAUUUUCGGAUGUCACAAAGAUUGGAUCCGCGAAGAAUUAUGUCACUUCAUACAUCUUUAAGGACUACGCAUGAAGAAGAUGUGGAACUUCAACUAAACGCCAUCUUUUCAGCCAAAAUCAACGGCAUCACAAUUGAUUCUAACAUUCCGGAAGAAUGUUUCACUCGCGAUAAUGCAAUUUUAAUUGCUUAAUGUAAGUAACAUCUAUAAUAUAUGUAUUGCAGUUAAAUUUUGCGUGCAAAUAUCUAUAAGUUACUUAGUAGUAUAGAGAAAGUGAAAAAGACUAAUUUAAUUGGGACAAGAAAGCAAGGUCCAGCUGCAGAGUGGGUAUUCGGUUCUUUAAUAAAAUAAUAACAAAACUGCUAAUUAAUUCUAAAUAAAUCAAAACUUAAAAUUUCACAAUAAUAAAUAUAAACAAAUAAAUAAAUAAAAAAAAUAUAUAUAAAUAUAAAUUCAACAGUAAUAAAUUUCAAAAAUUUUAAUUUUGAUUGUAAUUGAAACAGCAUAUUCAAAUUUUGCAUGUUCAAAAACAGCAAAAUUUAAACCUUUCUCAUUUUCUUUUAAUAUAUCAAUAUUUAAAUUUACAAUUAUGUCUCUAAGAAAAGGUGAAAAAAAGUUCUAAUUCCCACGAAAUGUUAAAUAACUAGUUUUGUUGGGAUAUUUUAAGAUAAGAUUGGCACGUUCAGACUCUGCCUGGUCUUUUUUUCUUUCGUUUCGAUUAAGUAUUAGUUUCUUUUACACGAAUGCAUUAUUGCGAGUUAAAAUUUCAAUUUUAUUCUGCGGGCAUUACUUUUUGCGUGGUAAAAUUAUUGUUUAAAAAUGAUUCUACUUUCACUUGAAUUUUCAAAGAAUGGUUUCUCACAAAAAUAAUUAAUUAAGAAUGUAAACAAUGAAAAUUUUCUCAGCCGAGCGUUUGUAUAAUUUAAAAGCUAUAAUUUAAGUGUAAUUUAAUUUAGGCCAACAAUAGUGAGAUUAAUUCUAUGCUAGAGAUAAGUUAAUUUAUCUUUAAUAAGUUUCAAACUGCAAAAACUAGCACGUACUAUAAAAUCAAAUUUAAUUUUUAGUACUAUAAUUUAUACUAUGAUUUGUCACAUGUAAAAUAUAAUAAUAGAAUCUAGUCAAAAGUCAUACAUAUAAUCUAUAAUCUAGUCAAACUUUGAUGUUAAUAGAAAUCAAAUUUCGACUACUAAUCAAGUUUCUAAUGUGCCAUACUUUUAAAACGUAAUUAUAUAUCAAUAAAAUCUAGUCAAAAAUUUCAAAUAUUUGCCAUCUAAUAGAGAUAUAUGUUAUUUUAUAGCAACAUGGAUAGUUGGAAAAUCUAGUCAGUUUAUAUCUUCAAUCUUGUCAUAUUAUAUUAAAUUUAAUCGUAAAACUCUCUAUCAUUAUUCGAUUAUAAAAAUUAUUGUAUUGUAGCACAGAACUUCAAAGUGCAAAAUCUAAUUUUAAAAUAGAAUUAAUCUUAAAGUAAUAAAGCUAUUCGCGACAAAAAAUCACGUUUGAAAAAGAAUCGAUAAGAAAACAAAUCUUUCUUUAAGUUCUUGCUUAAGCGGCUCGUGUAAGUAAUUUUUUUAAAUUCAAGAAUCAUAAGUUUUCGAAUGAUCUCUUGCAAAUCAUACGUACAUUCCUUUAUAAAUUAGGAUAGUAUUAGUAUUAUUUAAAAUCGACAAAAGUAUAUAAAAUUAGUUUUAUAUAUUAUGUAAUCCUUGCAAUUCUAGUCACAUUUAAUUUAUUCACUUGUAAUUAUUUCAAGUCACUUCUACUCAGCAAUCUAGUCUAUUGAUCUUAUUAAUUUAAUAUUUGAUAUGCAUGAUAUGCAGGCCACUAAUAAAUGCAAUCUUUUUCUUAAAUCUUAAAAUGUACGAUUAUGUUUCGUUAUCAUGACAUAACAGUCUUAUCAGUAUUUUAUCUUAAUGUCUUAUCAGUAUUUUUACAAUUCUAUACAUCUGUAUAGUACGUCACCAAAUCCGUGGAUGCGAUGCCAUACAAAACUUAUAUCAAAGAAUGAUGCUAGUCCAUGGACGCGAUGCCACACGAAACUUAUACCAAAGAAUGAUGCUAGUCCGUGGACCCAAUGCCACACAAAAUGUAUACCAAAGAACGAUGCCAGUCACUUCCUUAGAUAAUUGAUUAAUCCUCAAUUUUUGUCUUAAAAUCCUCAGUCUUUGGAAGCAUACAGCCGUAUAAUUCUUGUAAAGCAGUACAGAACAAUACUUAGUUUAAUUAUAGUAACUUUGCGUGCAGUUAGUCUAGUGAGUCUAGUCAAUUCUAGGUACUAUAUUAAUCAAGUUUAGGGAUUAAUCAUAAAUAAAAUUUAAAAAUAAUAUAACAGACAUUAUGUAGAUUUAAUAUAAUGAUAAAGUAAUUUAUACAUUGUAAUAUAUUUUGGGAAACGUGCCAGUAUCGCGAUCAUUUAAAAUUGAUCCUUGAAUUGUGCCGACAUUUAAUAAUUAAAUGUACUAACGCAAGUAAAUGGAGGAUAGCUUGUGAAUUUUGUGCAAAGUAUGUAUAAAGUGCCUGUACAGUAUUUAAUUUUUUGAUUAAUUUACACGCAAAGCAAAAUGUCCUCAACGGCAGCUACCUAUGUAGAAAUGAAGAGGAACUCGGGGUAACUUGUUAGAAAAAACUACGGAAGGAAUAGUGAAUCAUUUUCAAUUUCCAUGUUUUUUUAUUUAUUACUAUUUUUUAGUAGAGCUUGUUUAAGUAUUUUUUUUUUAAAUCUUACAUUUCUCUUAAAUAAUAUAAAAUUCUCUCAAACUUUAUUCUUUAUACACAUAGGUAUACCUACACACACAUAUACUAUAUAUAUAUAUAUAUAUAUAAUAAAAAUUAUAAUUAUUAAAAUUAUUCAUGAAUUCUUCUAUUUCAAUUUAAAAAUAUAAUAGAAGGAAAAGCGUGUAGAUUUCAAACAUCUCAUUUCCUUUACAAGUCAAUUAUUGCAUGUCAAUAAAAGUCAUCCUUUUUCAAUUAUAAAUCAUUCUUACAAUUCACAUCAUUUGCAAAAGAAAGACUCAUAAACAGUCAUCAAAGAUUCUCUAAAAAAUCAAAAACUUUCCACCAAAUACUUAUCAUCAAAACAAAAAAAAUUACCAAAUAUAAAUACAUUUAUCAAAGAUUUUCCAAAUAUUUCAAAAGAUAUAUUAAAAGAUUCUUAUUUAAUAAAAAGAAAAUGUAGAAUGAUUCAACAGGGUAGGAUUAGUUUAAUAUUAAGUUACUAUUUUUCAUUUAAUUAAGUUUGGGUAUUUGUCAAAUCUGAUUAAUUAUUUCCUUUUCAAGUAUUAGUUCGGCUGUGCUUAUUUUAAUAUCUCAAUCACGUAAUAGCUUUUUAUAUAGUCUAGUCAAAAAGUACAAAAUUAUAUCUUUAUGAUUUGAUGUAGAAAACAUUUUAGAAACAUUUUUAAUUUGAAACUAUGCCUUUAACAAGCAUUAAGAAAUAAAUUUAAUCUAAAUUUUGUUUAGUAUUUACAAAUUUCAUUUCUAUUGCAUAACAGAUUUGAAUGAAUAUAGUGGGAAUACUUAUAGUAACUUUGUGGUUGCAGAUACGAUUUAAAUUUGCAUAAAUGCGUUAUACGUAAGAAUUAAAAUUAAUCUCACUAUUCGGCAUAUUAAGUCAACAUAAGCAACGAUGUAAAAUUAAGAGUAUUUCUUUUAAUUUAUUGCACAAAUUAAUUGAUAUAAAUCAGUUAGUACAAAUCAAUUUAACUAUUGGCUUUUAGUGUACAAAGCAAUCGUUACUUGUAGUCAUGAGUCUAAAAUCAUCAAUUAAACCAAAAAUAUAUAAAGCUAAAAUUAUAAUAGAAAAGUCAAAUCUAAUCUUAAUGAAGAAUACAUUUAUUAUCAACGUAACAAGAAAUAUAUUUCAUACCAUUUGCUUGCAACUCAUAAAAGAUAGAAUGUAAGAAAUGUAAGAAAUAUUUUUCGAAAGAUAAAUAGUAUUUUAAAAAGAAAUUGUAUGUGUGACUCAUAUGUCAUUGAUUAUAUAUUUUUGGCUAAGAUAUGUAAUAUUAUUUACGAGUGGAAUCUAGUCAAAAAGCUCAUGGACGAUUAACUCGAAAAGUUUCACUAAGAGAGGACCGAGAAGAGCCCGAAUAAUCACACGCAGAAAUAACCCACUGGAUAAUCUCAGAUAGCACACAAUAUUUAUGAUAAAUAUUUACAAAUAUACGUCUUUUAAAGUAUUUUAUAGAUUUUAUAUACACAUAUUUUACAAAGGAAAAAGAUUAUAAAAUCUUCAAUCUGUUAUUCAAAAUGUUCUUAAAAUAUAUAAUAUUUUUUAAAAUAAUUAUUUUUGCAAAUAAUAUAGAAUAUAGGGAAGUUUUUCAAAUUGACAUAAAUAUUAUGUGUUGUCUGAGAUGUAAUGUAAUUAUGUAAUAUUAAAUCAAUUUAUAGCUUAUCUUUUGCAAUUUUUAAAGUACAUCAUUAAAAUAUGUUGAGAUUAGCUAGGAUCUCAUUUGGCGCUAUGAAUACUUGAAAUUUCUGAUUGGUUAAUGCUAUGAAGCAUUUGUAGUGCUAAAUGAACCAUAGACAUUGUCAAAUAUUUUUUAUGACGGUUAGAUAUAUAAAUAACAUAUUAAUUUGCAAUUUUAUGUAUUUAAUAUUCAUAUUUUUCAUAUUAUGAAGAGCAUGAAUAUGACAAAGAAUUGGUUUGUUAUCUAAUAUUAAUCUAAAAUUAACUUGUAAUCAUUGUUAAAAAGUCAGUCCUCAAAAAUUGAUUUUUUAUUGCUUAAUGGCGUCUAAUUAAAGUGUACUGAUUUGGUUUAAUUUAUUUACACUCACGAUUGUAUCGUCUUCUCUUGGCUUACGUAGUAGAGCACGCGAUCUCAGUCCAUGGGCGGUAAUUAUAAUAGCCUGUAACAAUGCGUAAAAUCUAAUUUGUAAAUAGAGUUCUUUUCGAUAAGAAAACUUCAAUAGCUAAGAUAUAAGUAUUAUAUUAUUCACCAAAUUCAAUAGCAGAUAAUAAGUAUAUAGAAGAUGAAUACAUACACGAAAUGAUAAUAAUUAAAAGAUUUUGCGUAUUUAGUCGUUUACAUAUUUAUAAUUUUUAUUAUCUAUGUUUAGAUAUUUCUUGAUCUGUCUAUUACGCCAGGUCUUUCCUCACGUAUUUGCUUAUUUAUUAUUCGCCGUUUUGUGUAUCUAAUUGUUUAUUUUCCCUCAUAUCAUUGUCAGUCAUAUUACCUCCUUACGCGAUUCGACGUACAACAUCAAAUUGUGUAACGAAAACUUAAUUAUUAACUUUUGUAAGAUAAACAUGAUGGAAAAUAGAUGAUUAAUUAAUUUUUAUCUUUACUUAUUAUUUGUUAUUUCGAAGAAACAUACAUGUAAUAUAUAUCACGAUAUACUUAUUUAUCUGUAUCAAAGAGCUUUUCUAAGCGUAAGAAAGUUUGUCGCGUGAAAUAUUUAUUGCUUUCAGUGUGGCUUAAUAAUUUCUAUAGAGCCUAAGCAUAUUGCAUAUGAUGCAUUUAAUCGCUUAUUUAUUCUGUGUAUUUAAUUCCUACUUAUCAUUUGUAUCUCUGAUCACGAUAUUUAUAUAAUAUUUAAUCUAUUUGCCGUAUUUAUACAUCUAUUUAUUUAUCAUUACAAACAUUGUAUUUGUGUGUAUUUGCGUCAUGUAACUGAAUCACAGUGUGUGAAACAUAUUUUAUAAUGUAACAAAAUUCUAUUAUGUCACAAAAUACCAAAAACAUAUACACAUAUAAUCGAAAUAUUGGAAAUAUAUAAACUUUUGUUCAUUCCAAAUCAUGCAUUGUUUCGCAUUAUACUGAAUUACAGUAAAAUGUCGAUUAUCUGCUCAAACUGACAGAUAGUGAUCUACUUAUUAUCAUGAGCAUUUGUGCAAAACAUUUAGAGAAAAAAUAAUAAUAAAUAAAAUACUAUAAAGGAUACAUAAACAGUAAACAGCAUUGCUUAAGAAUUUCUCUUUAUUCAUAUUUGAUAAUUGGCAUUUUGUUGUAUUUCUAUUAGGAACAAAAAUAAUUGUAACCAUUUUACUUUUCCAUAUGCUACUGUAUAAGAACCAUCUUAAUAAAAUCCGUAUAACACC